rnacentral:rRNA from 1 species
UACAGAGGUCUCAAGCGUUGUUCGGAUUCAUUGGGCGUAAAGGGUGUGUAGGUGGCGCCGUAAGUCGGGGUGUGAAAUUUCGGAGCUUAACUCCGAAACUGCAUUCGAUACUGCGGUGCUUGAGGACUGGAGAGGAGACUGGAAUUCAUGGUGUAGCAGUGAAAUGCGUAGAGAUGUGGAGGAACACCGAUGGCGAAGGCAGCCCCCCUGGGGUUAACCUACUGACGCGUCAAGGCACG